GAACAGUGAAAUGUGGCCUCAUUUUUUACUCCAUCUGCUGUCUGGGCCAAUACCAGUCUCAUAGGCGGAGAAGCUUCGCUAUCUCCAUUCUGCUCUGAAUCUUCAUCUUCUGACAUCACCUCUCCUUCAAUUUGUGCAUUUUUCAUAAACACUGCUCCUCUUUUCAGUUAUAUACGUUCUCUGUUUGGAAAUUGAUGAAUUUGAUAACGAAGUUUUUUUCGAUUUGGUUGUUUAGUUUUGAAUUUGGGUGUUGGCCGCAGGAAUUGGAAGAUUAAUUGACUCAAUUUUUCUUGGAAGAUACAAACUUUGAUUGGGUUCUAUCGAAAUUGAGAAAUUUAACAUCUUGGUCUGAUAAAAGUAAUCAACUGAGUUUUUAUUUAUUGAGUUUGGCUUUUGGUUUGAUGUUUCGGUGAUGUGUUUAGGUUUGGGGUGUGGAGCCUGUUGGCAAGAAUAGAGGGAAUUGCAGCCAGUGAUCAUUUUAAACGAGUGUAAUGCAGCUGCUCAAGAGAUGGAACUUCUUCUACAGAAAGAUGCAUAGGAUGUUUUGCCUAGGAUGAGAAGACAAAGGUUUAAAUAAAAAUGAUCUGUAGAGGGGAAUGAUCAGCCAACUUGCAGGCCAGCUCACUGUCAUAUCUUGCUUGAUGAGAUUGGCUUUUCCCUUGAUUAGAUGCAAGACCUGAUCUAUGUAUUGAGAAACAGGAAGUGGAGUAAUGUAAGCUUUAUUUGAAGAAAAAUGGGUUUAAAUUGACUGGCGACAAGGACACGGUUAUGCAGCGGAUUGAGGAGCAUUGACGAAUGGCAGAAGCAUGUAAUGCUAAGCUCAGUUAUACAAUACAAUUUGAUGGAAAAAAAGUGUAAUUUCAUUGAACCUCUUUAUAUACGAACUACUACGACUUUGAUAGUGCUAUACACAAGGUUCCAAUUCUAAGCACCGGAAGCAGAUUCUUUUGCUGAUAUUAUAGUCUGUUUAGAUCUUUCAAGGAUGAGGUCAGCUUUAUAUCAUG